AGGAGGCAGCUGCCACAGCGCCCCCUGUGGACAGGAGGACAACUACAGUCACACACACAAACCCUAACCCUUUACUGCAGGAACAUUAUCAGAAAGCGUCGAUUUGAGAUUUAUUAUGAAAAUUUUGAUGUUCGAUGUCUCACCAGCGGCCUCCAGCGUCUCCUCGGCCUUCAGACCGGGGGCUUCGGUGGACGGGGAGCCGCCUUCCCCCCCCAGAGCCAGAGUAGGAGGACAGGCCGUCGUCCACGUCCAGGGAGUUUCCUGCGGCCGUGACCCCGUCUGAGAGCUCCAGGCUGGGGAUGGAGAAGGACGCAGAGUCCGUGGACUCCCGCUGGUCCUCCAGGUCCAGAUCUACAAGACAAAACGAUUAUUUACAUUAAUCCAAACCAAAGUAAAGAUUACACGAUUAGAUUAAUAGAAAUAAAGAUCAAAGUUGUUC